rnacentral:rRNA from 1 species
GUCUAGAGGCUUCGACAAUGCCCGAAAGGGUGAUCGAGCGAUGCCGCGUGCGGGAUGAAGGCCUUCGGGUUGUAAAGUUCUUUAGCCGAUGAUUAUAAUGACUGUAGUCGGAAAAUAAGCCCCGGCUAACUUCGUGCCAGCAGCCGCGGUAAUACGAAGGGGGCGAGCGUUAUUCGGAAUCACUGGGCGUAAAGCGUGCGUAGGCGGUUUUGUAAGUUAGGAGUGAAAGCCCAGGGCUCAACCUUGGAAUUGCUCUUAAAACUGCAAGGCUCGAAUCUCGGAGAGGAUAGCGGAAUUUCCAGUGUAGCAGUGAAAUGCGUAGAUAUUGGAAGGAACACCAGUGGCGUAAGCGGCUAUCUGGACGAGUAUUGACGCUGAGGCACGAAAGCGUGGGGAUCAAACAGGAUUAGAAACCCGGGUAGUCC